rnacentral:snRNA from 1 species
GUACCCUGGUUUCUCUUUAGAUCGCAUAAAUCUUUUGCCUUCUACUAAAGAUUUCUGUGGAGAAAUCAUUGUAUCAGGGUUGGCAGCUACCAUAAUUUUUCUCU